UCUAGCCUCUUGGGUCCUGGGAUUA
rnacentral:piRNA from 1 species